CAAGACUUCGACAAGAGUCAGAUUACCGAAGAAACCUUUGCCAACCUGAGGCAGAGGAGAGAUGCUGGCCAGAUCAAUGAGGAAGACUUCAACACAUAUUCCGAUCAUCUCAGAAAGAUAAUGAAGUGAGAAGUACUCCUCCACUACCGGAUUGAAGUCAAAUGGACAAACGGUGACGCCACA